rnacentral:lncRNA from 10 species
CUUCUGGGUGUGGAGCAGUGUGUGACUGCACAGUCUCAGGCCUAGCUCUUCAUGCUGUGACUGGUAGGGCUUCAACACCACUCCACAAUGUCUCCUAAGACCUAAGUAGCUCCUUUGGAGCCCUGUUCAGUAAGCAGAGAGCCAGGAGAAACCCCCAUGCCCUCUCUUUGGAUUGAGGAGGCAAAUGGUGCCUGGGAUACAUCAGAAUAAAACAGACAAUGAUCCCUGCACUGGAGAAUCUUUCACGGGAAAGAAGGACUGAGAUAAAGUCAACAACACUCACAAAAUAAUAAAUGAGCUAAUGAUAUACUAGACGGUUGUGAGGAAAAAAGAAUGUAAGGCAAGGUAGUGGAGAAUGUGAGGCUGAGGGGUGCAAUUUAAAGAGGAAUUUAGGAAAGUCUUCAUGGUGAAAGACACUUUGAGCAUAGACGAUGAAAGGGAGGGAAUUGGCCAUAGGAAUAUUUCCAGGAAGAGGGAGUAGUCAAUGCAAAAGGCAUUGGGCAGGAACAGGUAUCAUUCUAUCAUUCUGAAAACUUCAGGUAAGACCAUGUGGAAAAGUAGUGAGGAGUUGCAGGAAGUGAGACCAGGCACAGGCUGUGGAGAGUCGGAUCCUGAAGUGUCCUGGGGAAUCCUGUACCCACUGUGGCUUUUAUUACCGUCUCCAAAGAAGAGCCAUUGCAAGGGUUUGAACAGAGGCAUGACAUCAUAACCCCACCUGUGUGUUGGAGGAAUAAUUUUGGCUGUGGGUUGCAAUGAGAUGGUAGGAACAAGAGCAGAUCUCGGGAGGUGGCGAGGAGUCCCUUGUAGCAAUCCAGGUGAAGCAUUGUGGGGGCUCAGACUGGGGCAGGAGAAGGACAGGUGCUGAGAAGCGUUUCUGGAGAGCUGCGGAAGCAAAGCCAGCGGUGCCUCCUCAUUGGUUGAAUGCAGCAUGCGAGGGAAAGAGAAGAAAGAGUCAAGGAUGAAUCUAAUUUUUUGCCCGGAGCAACUGGAAGGUCAGAGUCAGCACUGACAAAGAUGAGGGAGUCUGCAGGGGAGCACAUUUUGGAAACAGAGCAGAAGUUGGAUUUGCUAAGAAUUCAUUGUCUCUUAGACUUUUAUGUAGAGAUAUCGGAGGCAGCUGAAUAUGAGUCUGUAAUUCCAAAGUGAGUUCUGAGCUGGGGAUAUAAACUUGGGAGUCCUCUGCAUAUAAACAGCAAGCAGUGCCAAGAGAUGGGCUGUGGCCACAGAGGGGAUAAAUGAAGACAGAAGAGAAGAGCAUCCUGAGAACUGAGUUCUGAGUCUCUGACAUUAAGAGUGACUUACUGUCAUUGUUGCUGAACUGAUCCACUGGGUAACUCAGGUAAAAAAAAUUCAACAGUUCAAGUAAUACAUUAGAUAUGUAUGUCAUUGCCUUUUUGAUAUUACCAUAAAUGAUAUUACGUAUUAUUGAGAAUAUGUUUUGGCUCAUGCUACACUGGCAAAAAUCAAAACAACCAUCUUUCAGCAAUGACUGUAUACAAAGUAGAAAUCACACACAUCUAUUUCAAAAAUACAUAUAUAUUUCAAAAUAGUGCAGAAAACGCUACUGAGUUACUCCAUCUCUAAACUAUAGCCUAACACAACAAGAACAAAAUACCUAGGUACAAAAACAAAGGCUGAGUCAGACAAGCACUAACCUGCUGAAAAUGAUUUGCAUUUGAUGAACUCCAAAAGCUGAAGACUAGGAAGAGAUCAAAAUUCUUGAAGAACUUUGUCUCACUAUAAAAAUAGAUCAUACAGGAAUCCUAACCUUCAUAGCAUCAGAAAAAGAAAUUAUGUAAAACUAUUUGCAGGAAACAUUUUCCAUGCUCAAAUAAGUAAGGCCCGAUAGCAAUGUGACAACACACACAAACACAACCCACUGCCAAAAUGUGAGUAUUUCAACCCAUUAUAAAGAGGGGGCACAAUUCCAGGGCAGCAGAGAGCACUGGCUGCCUGGAGCCCAGGCUCAGCUCACCCUCUCCUAGAUCAACUUCCUUCUCCUCUGGAAAGAACACUGCCCUUUCCACUAAUGCACACUGCAGGAUGAAAGGGCGAAAGAGGAAGAGAAAAGCUUGAAUGUGAGUUCUCUAUGCACUUAGAGAAAAUUGCAUGGUACUUCAGCAGAAAUCUUUGAGCAGUACUCAAAGAUAUAAAAGCAGUAUGUCCUGCUAGAAUCCUAAACCUUUCAAAUGAAAGUUGCCUUACUUUUUUUUUUCUUUUCUUUCCUUUUUUUUUUUCUUUUAAAGUAUAACCCUGCAAUUUACUGGAGCUGAAGGCCCUUUUUUUUUUCUGACAUGGCAGAUUACUUUUUUUUUUUUUUUGUAGUGGGAUCGAGUGUUGUUGUUAGUUAGAAUAAAGGCCUAGACACAAAUUCUCAGGCUCCGUUCCUAGUUCUGACCAUAGUAAUGGGGAAACAUCAUGUCUUGGAGCAAAUAAAUAAACGCACAUAAAUGCAUCAGUUCCACUUAAACCCUGUAGGAAUGCUGCUAUCUCUUGGGAGAUACCAUAACGACAAUGCAUACAAGGCCAGUUGUGAUUUCCAAAAUUCAAAGAAAUACAAUAGAAGUUGUAAGGGAAAUGCCCCGAAUGGGAGAAACUGUGUUCACUCUGGGAGUAAUUGCUUAAACAACAUUUAUUUAAUCAGCUCCAUGACCACUCAUAAGCUACAGUAUCCUUCAGAAUAAAUUCCAAAGCUCCAUAUUGUAUUACUACUUUCACUUCAAUUUUGGAAAAAGAGGUAUACCAGUAGAUUUUAAGAUGCAUCCUUAUUCAAAUGAAAUACAAUAUUAUCCAAAAAAUUCCUUGAAUCAGUUGCUAAUUAACUUGUCUACUUGAUAAUUUACUUUUGAGUAACAACCGCAUACUCCUCUCUGCUUAUACUUUUUUACAAAUACUAUUUUAUUGUGUAACUGGUGCACACGUAUCAUAACAUAUGCACCAACAAAACGAGUACUUGCUGGAAUUUUUCCCAUCCAAGUACUAACGAGGCCCGACCCUGCUUAGCUUGUGAGAUCAGAUGAGAUUGGGCACGUUCAGGGUGGUUUGGUGGUAGACACAUGUCGGGGUUUCUAUUUCAAUCAGAAGACAGAAAAAUAAGACAGGGAGCAUGGGAAAUCACCUCCAAAAUGGAAAAGGAUUCUCCUAGGGUGUCUUACUCAUUGUCAAUUUCAGGAAAUUCCCCAAGGGAUAUUCCUGAAUGUUGAGUCCGUCUAGCUUAAAAUGACUCAAGUCAUGUAGCAGUUCUCCCAGAAUUCUGUUUCAUAGACUAUUUCUCAUGUUCACUGGAAUCACAAGAACUGUUUUUUCUUUAAGAUAUGAAUUAAUAUCAACCAAAAUUUAAAUUAACCUAAUACAUUUCUUCCACGGUCUAGCCUCCAACAUAACUUUCAAGCAUAACUAAGACAUUACUUUAUUGAAUUCCUUAAAAAUUGAAAAAUUAACUGAUGCUAUUUUUAAUAAAUGUCAAGUCAUAAAUGCAGUCUACAUUGCAGACAUUGAAAACAAUUUGAUUUAAAAGGCACAAACUAGCUUUGGUCUUUCUGUUUAAUCCCUUUAGUGUAAAAAAUGUCCUGUUCCUGACUCAUUUCUACACUAUAUUCAACAAAUAGCUUGGAAAAUAAAUUUUAAUGACUCCUUUUGUGCUUGUAUAUUUUUCUUUAAUAUCUUCUUAUUCAUUUUUGAACAAAGAGAAAUUGACAGAGUCAAAGACAUGACCUUUAAUUUUAAAGGAAUUUUCUUUUCUUACAAAUCUGCUAUCAUCGUAAUCCUAAAAGCACAAAAGAAAGCUAAAUUAUCUAUCCUUUUUUCUUUGACCACAGCAACUUUUAAAAUUUAACUUUGAUCCAGAUUAAAUGAUAGUUCAGCCAAAAAUGUCAAGAGGAGCCUUCUGGAGUUGGGUCCUAUGUGUGAGUAGGUGGUUCAUGCUGUUUAAAAGGCAGGACUGAACUGCAGCGUGGGGUUGCUAUGUAAGGCAGUAAAUAAUGAUUAUAAAAUGCUUUGUAAACAUUUUUAAUGUGACACAUCAAUGCUCUAUGAUAAAAACUAAAAUUCUCCAGUAAAGUAUAAGGGGACCCUGUGCUGGCAGAGGCGCUGGCCUCUGGAUGAGUAAUAGCCACUAUUAGUAAAACCUCAUAGCUCCUUUGAGAGGGAGGGAUUGUGCCAUCUUGCUACACUUGUUACCUCCAAAUAUGGGAAAGUUAUUCCUUAUUUCCUUUUCAAAGCUUGACUACUGAUUGAGAACAGCGGUGUAAAUACUUGUUCUCUUACACCAGCCCAGUGAGUCACAGCCACAGAAAUUACAGGAGUUAAGAAAGUGCAUCAUCUCCUUCCUUGGAGAACACGGAGGGAUGGUGACUUGCAGUAUGGUCUGGUUCUCAAGCUCACAGUGCACCUCUUUUCCUCAGGGCGUCUUCUUCUGUCUAUUCAUUGCUUAUUAAGCUGAUACUCACUUAAUGUAUUUUCUGGUCUCAGUGUAACCUAUUCUGCUAGGCCUCACGAAAUAACUACCUUUAACGCCAUGUUGCCUUUCUGAAUGAAAGCAGCCAUCUAUUCUCACAAACAGUACCCUUAGACCACAACAUCUCACCUAAAAAAUAUUUCUGUAUUUUUUUUAUCAAUAGUUUAGCAUUUAUCCCUAUCAAAAUUACCUCUCUUCAAUUUUAUACAACCAAAGUUUGGACUAAUUUUUGCUUAAUAUUCUAGAUUGUGCCCUAUUGGUAAAUUUUAAAAGCCAUUGUUCCCAUAUCAUUGCCUCUAUUUACAUAAAGCCUAAUAUAACUUGUCCCAUGAUAUAUUGUGUAUUACAGUGAUGAUAUCUGCCGUAAACUUUAAACAAAUGGUCUAUCCACCCAUAUCCCAUGCUGUUUAUACCACAUGUGCCCUGUUUUGUUGCUUCAUAUUUUUUCAUAGAAUCAGUGAACCUACUACACUACUAUAUUUCUUAUUCAAACUCUGUCGUUAUUGGGGUCAGUCUGCAAUUAAUACUCUCAUAUAGGUCCUGGGAAAGGGAAGAGAGGAAAAAGUGGAGGAUGAGGGUAGGUGUAUGAUUCUUUGGGAGGCACAAUAUUUUGAUUUUCUGGGACAUGUUUUCAAUACAUGCACACACCACAUAGAUUUUGAUAUGCUCCCCAUUUUGACUCAUUUGUCAAUUUGGGCAAUAUGUAUCUAGCGUCUCCUAUAAUCCAGGCUCUGUCCUCCUUACAAGUGGACGUCAUUAGCAGAAACUGGAACUACUGAGAGAUACAGGCCAUAGGUAAAAACCAGCGGAAGGCCCCCUGAGGCCAAGCCCCAUCAAUGUCAUUGAUUUUUAUUUCAGUGUUUCUCUGCCAAUUGUUCAACCUUCCUGAAAUUUAUUUUCCUAAAGAGAAGAGAGCUUGGAUAAGCCAUGUAAAAUCUCUGGCCUUUGUUUUUCUUAGCUAUAUAAUCAAGCAGUUGACUUGUGAAAAAAUAUUCAAAUAUGGACCACAUAGGGUUGUAUUUGCCAAACGCUUUUUUUUUUUUUUUUUUUUACAUCAGGCUAAUCAGUCAGUCUACAUCGCUAUCUUUAACACAGAGUAGCUAAAUUAUCAAUGUGCCUCAAAAAGCAGUGCCAAGGAGGCAGCAGUGGUGAAAUAGAGCCCCCCGCAUGUGGCAGAGUUGGGUCAGACCACCUCCCAGGGUCUCUGCACAGUCAUAGUUCCACAUACACUGAAAUGUUCUAAACACCCACCUAGCCUCUCACCUUUUACUUGCACUGGAAACGGAUGAGCUAUAUUUUGGUCAGCUCUGGAAAAAUUAAAACAAGUAACAUUGUUGAGUGCUGGGAAGGAUUUAGGGAAACAGAAGCCCCCAGGCAAACUGGCAGGGAUGUAUUAGUCAUAGCCACUCUGGACAGCAAUUUGGCAAUAUUUAGGACAGUUGAAAAUGCGCAUGAUCAAUGAUCAGGAAACACGAGGGAAACACUUGGAAAAUGCACGAGAUUAUUUACCGUGAUGUCCUCUGGAAGAGCCAAAAUCAUAAAUGAACAUUUCAGAAGGGACUAUCCAGAAAACAUGCGGAUUGUGCACACCAUGUCUCACUGCAUGAUGGUGAAAAAGACCAAACUAGGCCGUGGGGGGUGGCUCACGCCUGUAAUCCCAGUACUUUGGAAGGCUGAGGCGGGCAGAUCACAAGGUCAGGAGAUUGAGACUAUCCUGGCUAACACGGUGAAACCUCGUCUCUACUAAAUAUACAAAAAAUUAGCCGGGCGUGGUGGUGGGCGCCUGUAGUCCCACCUAUUCGGGAGUCUGAGGCAGGAGAAUUGCUUAAACCUGGGAGGCGGGGCUUGCAGUGAGCCGAGAUCACGCCACUGCAUUCCAGCCUGGGCGACAGAGCGAGACUCCAUCUCAAAAACAAAACAAAACAAAACGAAACAAAAAAAACCCACCAAACUAAAGGGCUGUGUGUUUUGUCUCAUCCAAUGAUGGUAAGUGAAGAAGUCAAGUGUCAGGAUGACCCAUCACACGUGACAUUGAAACACAUUUAAGACGACAGUGCACACUGUUUAUGGAUAUCAGUGCACAGGUAAUAUUGAAAAAAUUC